AUGUUCGAGGGCCACGUGCUGUUUUUGCUUCGCAAAUAUUUGGGUGAAUAUGUUGAAGGACUUUCUGUUGAAGCACUUAGAAUAAGUGUGUGGAAAGGCGAUGUCGUCCUUAAAGACUUGAAACUGAAGGCUGAAGCACUCAAUUCUCUUCAGCUUCCAGUAACAGUGAAAGCUGGGUUUGUUGGCACCAUAACAUUGAAGGUUCCAUGGAAAAGCUUGGGUAAAGAACCAGUUAUUGUUCUUAUUGAUCGUCUAUUCAUUCUUGCUCAUCCUGCUCCUGAUGGGCAAACUCUGAAGGAAGAAGACAGAGAAAAGCUUUUUGAAGCCAAGCUUCAGCAGAUUGAGGCUGCAGAGACAACAACUCUUGAAGCGACAAGUAGGAGCUCAAAAGGAGGACCUAUACCAGGUGGAAAUUCAUGGCUAUACAAUUUAAUAUCUACAAUAAUUGGAAAUCUUAAAGUCACCAUCAGCAACGUACACAUCAGAUAUGAAGAUUCUGUCAGCAAUGCUGGGCAUCCAUUUGCUUCUGGUUUCACUUUAUCGAAACUUGCAGCUGUUACAGUUGAUGAGGAUGGUAAUGAGACGUUUGAUGCAGGUGUAGCAUUAGAUAAGCUGCGAAAGUCGGUCGAACUGCAUAUGUUAGCCAUCUACCACGAUUCUGACAGCAAUCCUUGGAAGCUCCCCAAGAAAUGGGAGGAUCUUAAUCCUGGUGAAUGGAGCGAGGUAUUUCAAGAUGGCAUCGAUGAUCGUCCUGGCAAUUCUAUUUGGGCGAUGAAUCGGAGAUAUUUGGUUUCCCCUAUAAAUGGAACCCUUAAAUAUAAUCGACUUGGACAGCAGGAAAGAGGGGACCUGAACAAUCCUCUAGAGAAAGCAUCACUUGUCCUAAGUGAUGUUUCUCUAACAGUUACUGAGGCCCAGUAUUAUGAUUGCAUUAAACUGUUGGAAACAUUUUCAAGAUUCAGGACACGUGUUGAUGUUUCUCACUUACGGCCUAUUGUGCCUGUUAAAGAGGAUUGUCGUGCUUGGUGGCGUUAUGCUGUGCUGGCUGGUCUGCGACAAAAGAAAUUAUGCUAUUGGUUCUCAUGGGAGAGAACUAGAUAUCUGUGCCAGCUUCGUCGUCGUUAUGUUCAACUUUAUGCAACCCUACUGCAGCAAGCACCUAGUGUUGAUAUUUACGAAAUUCGGCAGAUUGAGAAAAUUCUAGACUCAAAAGUUAUUAUACUUUGGAGGUUGCUGGGUCAUGCUAAAGUUGAAACCGUGAAAUCUAAGGAAACAUUGCAUAAGAAGGGCUCCUCAAAGAGAAGAUGGUGGCCUUUUGGAUGGAACUCGGCUGGGUUGCCUUCUGAAGAAGGUGGCGGAUUAGAACCACAGUUGGAUGAGGAGCAGCUAACUAAAGAAGAGUGGCAGGCUAUAAAUAAAUUGCUAAGUUACCAACCGGAUGAUGAACUAUCAUUUCCUGUUGAAAAGGUCUCACCAAACACAAUCCGCUUCUUGGUGGACGUGUCUAUUGGCCAAGCUGCUGCGAGGAUCAUCAAUAUUGGUCACAUAGAGGUUAUGUGUGGUAGAUUUGAGCAGCUUCAAGUGGUCACCAGUUUGUAUCCGAAGAGUACUCGAUGUGAUGUAACUUUAAGAUAUUGUGGCCUGUCAUCCCCUGAAGGUUCUCUUGCUGAGAGCGUUGUCUGUGAGGGGAAGACUAAUGCUCUAGAUGUCAGUUUUGUGCGCGCACCUAUUGGCAUGGAUUUGGAUUGGCAGUUUGUGGCAAAGAUAUCUCCAUGCUAUGUUACGGUUUUGAAGGGGAGUUAUGAACGGUUUCUGGAGUUCAUCAAACGGAGCAAUGCUGUCAGCCCAACAGUGGCAAUGGAGACAGUCACCGCUCUGCAAAUUAAAUUAGAGCAGGUUACACGUAGGGCUCAGGAGCAGCUUCAGAUAGUACUGGAAGAGCAGAGCAGGUUUGGACUUGAGAUCGAUUUGGAUGCACCGAAAGUUAGGAUUCCCUUAAUCGGCAGUGAGCAAUUUGUCCUGGAUCUUGGCCAUUUUACAUUGCAUACAAGAGAUGGAACACGGGAUGAAGAAAGACAGAGUUUGUAUUCACGCUUUUAUAUUGCCGGCAGGGAUAUGGCUGCUUUUCUUGUUUGUGAUGUAGCUGAAGGCAUAUAUUCCGCACCGGAAAAUCUGUCUCACAGUGUGCUCCCAGGUCCUACUGCUGAUGCUAAUCGGUUCUGUUCUCUUCUUGAUCGCUGCGGAAUGUCAGUGAUAAUUGACCAGAUCAAAGUUCCACAUCCGAGUUAUCCAUCGACCCGUGUUUCUUUUCAAGUACCCAAUCUGGAUAUCCACUUCUCACCAAAAAGGUACUGCAAAAUUGUCGAGCUGCUUGGUGUAGUUUACCAGUUGAAGGGGAACAAUAAUGAAGAAUCGAGCAGCUAUGAAAAUGGUAAUCUGGCGCCUUGGCAUCCUGCUGAUCUAGCUGGUGAUGCUAGAACUUUGGUUUGGAGGGGCCUUGGCUAUUCACUAGCUGAGUGGCAUACCUGUCAUGUUGUAUUAUCUGGGAUGUAUCUGUAUAUCUUGGAGUCAGAAUUAUCCCAAAAUUACCAAAGGUGUUGUAGCAUGGCAAGCCGGCAAGUAUUUGACGUGCCAUCAGCUAGUGUUGGUGGGUCUCUUUACAGUAUUGCUGUGUGUUCUAGAGGUGCAGAUAUACAGAAGGCACUAGAAUCAACCAGCACACUGAUAGUUGAAUUUCAUAAUGAAAUAGAGAAGGCCAAUUGGAUGAAAGUGCUUGUCCAAGCAACAUAUCGAGCUUCCGCACCUCCUGAGCUGAACAUAUUAGGAGAUCCUUUCAGUUCUGCUCCAGAAACAAGCACUCCAAGGCUUAGCAGUUUGGGGUCAGUGGAUCUCCUUGUGAAUGGCUCUGUAAUUGAAACAAAGCUUUCACUCUAUGGAAGGUUGGACAGAAAGAACAGAGAUCCAGAAGAGCUUCUAAUGUUAGAGCUCCUUGGGAAUGGGGGAAAGGUUAAUGUUGUUCAAUCUUCUCGUGGUCUAAGUGUGAAAACAAAGCUGCAUUCAUUGAAGAUAAAGGAUGAGCUACAUGGUCGUCUUUCAAUGUCUACGAAGUAUUUAGUAUGUUCUGUUAUCAAUGAAGAUUUGGAGUCCUUUCCUAAGAAAAAUGAAGAUUUGCAGCCUGAAGGUUCUUUUACACCUGACAUGGAGGAUCACCCCAAAUCCUUCUCUGUGGAGGAAGAUUCAUUCAUGGAUGCAUUGACAGAUUUUACUUCUGACCAAAGUUUCAAUCUCCCUGAUCAUGAUAUUCCAUCAAACUCAAUGUCUGAUCUGAAUGAGUACACUUUAUGCUUUGAUGGCGAUCAGCAAAAUUUGAAACCUACUGAAAUUUUCUAUGAGGCACAAGACAACAAUGUCACUGAUUUUGUUGUUCUUACAUUUUUGAGUAGGACUCCAGACUCUUGCCUUUAUGAUGGUAUAGAUUCACAGAUGAGUAUCCGUAUGUCUGCACUGGAGUUCUACUGUAACAGACCCACACUUGUUGCUCUUAUCGAGUUUGGAGUUGAUGUCAGCAUGGUUAAUUCUGUGCCAAAGAGUGACCCUGACAUGGCAGGUGCAACACACAGUGCAAUACCCACUGGGAAGGAACACACUGGCCGUACUGUUGUUAAAGGACUGUUAGGUUAUGGAAAACGUCGAACUAUUUUCAACAUCAAAAUGGAUGUGGAUCGGGUAUCUAUGUUUCUUAACAAGGAAGAUGGUUCUCAGCUUGCGAUGUUUGUGCAGGAGAAAUUUCUGUUUGACCUGAAGGUUCACCCGGGCUCAUUUUCUAUUGAUGGUAUGCUUGGUAAUAUGAGAUUUUGUGACAUGUCCCUCGGGCCAGAUCAUCGGUGGGGUUGGCUUUGUGAUAUACGGAAACCAGGUGUUGAGUCGCUUAUAAAGUUUGCCUUCCAGUCUUACAGUGCUGACGAUGAUGACUACGAAGGUCAUAAUUACAGUCUGACUGGGCAGCUUUGUGCCGUCCGUAUUGUCUUUCUUUAUCGGUUUGUCCAGGAGUUUACUUCUUACUUCAUGGAGCUUGCUACCCCUCACACUGAAGAAGCAAUUAAGUUUAUGGAUAAAGUUGGAGGUUUUGAGUGGUUGAUUCAGAAAUAUGAGAUGGAUGGUUCUUCUGCUAUAAAGCUGGAUCUUUCACUUGAUACACCCAUUAUCAUUGUCCCGAAGAAUUCCCAGAGUGAAGACUAUAUACAACUGGAUUUGGGGCAACUGAAAGUUAAAAAUGAUUUUAGUUGGCACGGAGGUGAAGAGAGUGACCCAUCUGCUGUGCGUCUUGAUGUUCUCCAUGCUGAGAUAAAUGGAAUCAACAUGGCGGUUGGAGUCAAUGGCACUCUCGGGAAGUGUAUGAUUCAAGAGGGUCAUGGCAUCAAUGUAGGGGUGCGGCGUAGUCUGAGGGAUGUUUUCCGAAAGGUCCCAAUGCUCUCCAUGAAAGUUCAGAUAGGAUUACUGCAUGCUGUUAUGUCGGAUAAAGAAUACAACGUCAUCACAAGUUGUAUUUCGACAAAUCUAUCGGAGACACCCAAUCUUCCCCCCAGUUUCCGUGAAAACGUAAACCGGACAAAAGAGUCAAUACGCCUACUUGCGGAUAAAGUUAACCUUAAUAACCAUUUGAUGCUUUCACGUACUGUUGUCAUCAUGACUGUGAAUGUCCACUAUGCUUUGCUAGAACUUUGCAAUGGUCCAGAUGCCGAGUCACCUCUCGCGGAACUUGCUCUAGAAGGUUUAUGGGUUUCUUACAGGACAACUUCACUGUUUGAGAUGGAUCUAUAUUUGUCUAUACUUAAACUUUCGAUUCGUGAUAUCCGCCCAGAUACAAAGUCUGAGAUGCGCUUGAUGCUUGGAUCUUAUUCAGAGACUUCUAAGCUGAACACACCAGACCCUUCAUCAGAUGGGGGGGUUUCUAACCUAACCAUGCUGAUACUAGAUUAUCGAUGGCGUUCUUCCUUCAAAUCAUUUGUUAUAAGAGUCCAACAGCCUCGCAUACUUGUUGUCCUGGAUUUUCUUCUUCCAGUAGUUGAGUAUUUUGUGCCUUCGAUAGGUACAAUAACAGGCAGAGAGGAAAGUCUGGACCCAAAAAAUGACCCUCUUAUGACCUCAAAUGACAUUGUACUUUGUGGGCCUGUUUUCUUACAGAGAGAGAAUGUUAUUCAACUCUCUCCUGAGAGGCAACUAAUAGUUGAUGGUUGCGAUAUUGAUGAGUUUACUUAUGAUGGUUGUGGAGGCACCAUAUCAUUAUGUGAAGAGCUUGACAAGAAGGAGCAGUUAUACUCUGAGACUAUAAUCAUUGUUGGGCGGGGUAAAAAGCUAAGAUUCAAAAAUGUCAAAAUUGAGAAUGGUGCAUUACUGAGGAAGUGUGUUUACUUGAACACUGGAAGCAGCUAUUCAAUCUCUGCUGAAGAUGGUGUUGAGGUUUCAGUCUUGGAAACUUCUUUUAAUAACGAUGAAGACAAUCGUUUCCAAAGUGAAGAAUACAACAGACAAUUCAAUGCACUUCAGCCUGCUGCUGGUUCACCCUCAAACCAAAUGUUAAAUUUUACAUUUGAAGCGCAGGUUGUCUCGCCAGAAUUUACUUUUUAUGACAGUUCAAAGUUAACAAUGGAUGAUUCCUUGCACAUCGAGAAGCUUCUUCGUGCCAAGAUGGAUUUCAGUUUCAUGUAUGCUUCAAAAGAAAAAGACAUAUGGGCUCGAUCGGUCGUUAAAGACCUGACAAUAGAAGCUGGUUCCGGUCUUCUUGUUCUUGAGCCAGUAGAUUUUUCCUGGAAAUAUACUUCAGUCAGUGAAAAGACAAACAUAAUAUUGACAUCUUCAGAAAUAUGCAUCCAUCUUUCUCUCGGUGUUGCUUCUCUCAUGCUCAAACUGCAAAAUCAGACCCUUGCAGCUUUGCAGUUUGGCAAUAUUAACCCACUGGUUUCUUGCACCAACUUUAAGCGAGUUUGGGCGUCACCAGAAGGUGAUCUACCUGGUUACAAUCUCACCUUCUGGAGGCCACAAGCUCCUUCGAAUUAUGUUAUUUUGGGUGAUUGUGUGUCCUCAAGGUCUGUGCCACCUUCUCAGGUUGUGGUUGCUUUAAGCAACACCUAUGGCCGUGUGCGGAAACCUCUUGGUUUUAGGCUUGUACAUACAUUACCUGGAUCUCUAGACUUAGUGGAUUCCAAGAAGUCAAGUGAGCAAAAUGACUGUUCAGUCUGGGUUCCUGUGCCGCCACGUGGAUACUUAGCUCUAGGAUGUGUGGUAAAUAGUGGAAAUCAGCCACCUUCCAAUAAUGUUGUGUACUGCCUUCGUUCUGAUCUAGUGACUUCUGCAACAUUUUCAGACUGCAUACACACACUCUUGUCUGCUCCUGGAAUACUUUCUGGAUUUAGCAUCUGGCGUGUGGACAAUGUGAUUGGCACAUUCCAUGCACACAGUUCUGCAAACCAACCCAGUAGAACAGAAGCUCUUGAUUUGCAUCAUGUUCUGCUAAGGAAUCCAAAUUGCUAUAUCAUUAAAGAUCUGGCUGCAGAUUCUCCUGUUCGGAGUGACCAGCCAACUGAUCAAUUAAGUAAUCCUAAGAGUACUUCUGGGUGGGAUGUUGUUAGAACUUUGUCAAGACCAAGUAGCUAUUGCACGUCUACUCCACAUUUUGAAAGGAUAUGGUGGGAUAAAGGUGGCGACUCAAGGAGGCCAUUUUCAAUAUGGCGGCCAUUACCUCGUUUCGGCUUCGCUCCAGUUGGCGACUGUAUAACUGAAGGGCUUGAACCACCUACACUUGGCAUUCUUUGCAAGUGUGACGACAAGAUAGUUUCUGAAAAGCCUGUACGAUUCAUGAAAGUAGCACAAAUUGACAAAAAGGGCAUUGAUGACAUAUUCUUGUGGUAUCCAGUGGCACCUCCUGGAUACGCUUCUCUUGGAUGUGUUGUGACAAAAACAGAUGAGAUGCCAAGCAAGGAUUCCAUUUGCUGCCCUAAGUUGGGUUUGGUGAAUCAAGCAAAUAUCUCAGAGGACCCUAUCUCAAGGUCUUCCAGCUCAAAGGGACCUAACUGCUGGAGCAUCUGGAAAGUUGGAAAUCAGGGAUGUACUUUCCUUGCACGGCCUGAUCUGAAAAAACCAUCAGCUCGAUUGGCAUACAGUAUUGCAGAUCAUGCUAAGCCAAAGGCACCUGACAAUGUUACUGCUGAGUUGAAGCUGGGAUCUUUGUCAAUCAGCAUCCUAGAUAGCUCGUGUGGAAUGGUCACACCAAUUUUCGACACUACAAUCUCGAGUAUAAAUCUUGCAACACAUGGGAGAUUUGAGACAAUUAAUGUCGUGUUGAUCUGUUCAAUUGCUGCAUCCACAUUCAAUAGACACUUGGAAGCAUGGGAACCUUUGGUUGAGCCAUUUGAUGGAAUAUUCAAGUUGGAAACAUAUGAUACCAGUGAGCACCCUCCUUCCAAAGUUGGUAAGAGGAUUCGUGUUUCUGCAACAAGUCCUCUAAAUGUCAACCUGAGUUCUGCAAAUCUUGAUUUGCUUAUCGAAACUUUAAUUUCAUGGCGAAGACAAAUUGAUCUUGAAAAUAGAUCAUCAAUCAGAAAUGAGGAUUCUUUGGAAAAUUUAAAAAUAGCUGACAAUUUGUCCAGUUCUGCGUUGGAUGAAGAUGAUUUCCAGAGGGUAGUUUUCGAGAACAAAUUAGGAUGUGAUGUUUAUCUUAAGAAACAAGAAGAUAAUGAAAACACUAUUCAGCUAUUACAGCAUGACAAUCAAAUUUCACUGUUGAUGCCGCCUGCGAGGUUUUCCGAUAAGCUAAAUGUAUUGUCAAAUUCUACGGAAGCAAGAUAUUAUGUUGUCAUACAGAUCUUUGAGUCCAAGGGCUUGCCUAUCGUAGAUGAUGGUAAUGAUCAUAGCUACUUCUGUGCUCUGCGCUUGCUCAUAGGAAGUCAGACUUCUGAUCAGUACAAGGUAUUCCCACAGAGUGCCAGGACAAGAUGCGUAAACCCUGUGAAAACAGCUGAGUUACAGACACAUCAUGCUAAGUGGAAUGAACAUUUUAUAUUUGAAGUUCCAGAACAGGCAUCAGCUAAUUUAGAGAUUGAGGUAACAAAUUUGGCAUCAAAGGCUGGCAAAGGUGAAGUACUUGGUUCUUUGUCAAUCCCUAUUGGAAGGGGAACAACAACAUUGAAACGAGCUGCUUCUAUCAGAAUCCUUCAGCAAGCUGCUGAUGUCAAGCGAGUAAUGACAUGUCCUCUUACUGGGAAGGCCACAGGACUCGAUGAGGGAGACAGGAAAGGCUGUGGUGCUUUAGUACUUUCAUGUUGUUACAUAGAACGAUCUACUCAAACAGACUUCCAGAGCUGGAAAGACAGCAUAAGCAAUGCAGAAACUGGUUUCUGGGUAGGGCUUACCCCAGAUGGUCCAUGGGAAAGUUUUACUGCAGUUUUACCACUGUCAAUCAUCCCAAAAUCACUUAAUAGUAAUCACUUUGCGUUUGAGAUCACCAUGAGAAAUGGAAAGAAACAUGCAACUUUGAGGUCCCUUGCUGUUAUUGCUAAUGAUUCUGACAUAAAACUUGAAGUUUCUGUAUGUCCCAUAAACAAGCUUAAUAGCUCCAUGAUAAAUGAUAAAUCAACCAGUUCCACCAACAACGUUGAUGAAGUAUUUGAAAACCAGUGGUAUCAACCCACUUCAGGAUGGACAAGUAACCAUUCUAGUGAUCAUGGAAUUGAGUUGGGGCAAUGGAGCACUAAGGACUGCUCUUACUCAUCUAAGGCAUUCUUUGAACCCCGUCUUCCACCUGAUUGGAAGUGGACUUCACCGUGGAAAAUCGAAAAAUCUACUUCCGUAGAUUGUGAUGGAUGGGCAUAUGCUGCUGAUAUUCAAAACUUAAACUGGCCGUCAUCCUGGAGAUCUUCUAAAUCACCACAUGACUAUGUUAGACGAAGGCGUUGGGUACGUUCGAGGCAGCUAUUGCAAGAACAAAGUGUGGAAAUAGCUAGGAAUGUAGUUGCUAUUGUGGAUCCAUAUUCAUCUACAGCGUUGCCUUGGACAGCCAUGAUCAAAGAUAUGGAUUUGUGCUUGCAAGUUCGGCCUUUUUCUGUAAAAUCAGACGAAUCAUACAAUUGGAGUCAGGUUCUUUCACUAGGUUGUGACAGCCUACCUAAGCAGCAGCAGUCUUCACUUUCUAGGCAAAGCACCAUGAAGCAAUCAUCUGUUCCAUCAAGGAAUUCUGUUCUUAGGCUUGCUGAGCUCGAGAAAAAAGAUGUUCUUUCAUACUGCUCCCCUCUUGUUGGUAUCAAACAAUAUUUCUGGCUUAGUGUUGGAGUUGAUGCUUCCAUUGUUCAUACGGACUUAAAUAUGCCUGUUUACGACUGGAAGUUCUCUUUCAAUUCAAUUCUUAGACUUGAAAAUAAGCUUCCAUAUGAAGCUGAGUAUUCUAUUUGGGAGAAGUCAGCUGAAGGUAAUAUGGUUGAAAGACAGCAUGGUAUUGUAUCGUCAGGUGGAAGCGCAUUCAUUUAUUCAGCAGAUAUUCGGAAAUCCAUUUAUCUCACACUGUUUGUUCAAAAUGACUGGAUUUUAGAAAAGGAUGCUGAACUGAUAAUGGACUUGCUGUCCCUGGAACACGUUUCUUCUUUCUGGAUGGUUCAGAAACGAACCCAGAGGAAAUUGCGUGUUAGUGUUGAACAUGAUCUCGGAGCAAGUGAUGCUGCACCAAAGACGAUAAGAUUAUUUGUUCCAUAUUGGAUAAAAAACAAUUCUUCCAUUCCACUAGCUUAUCGUAUUGUGGAAAUUGAACAAGCAGUAAAUGCAGAUGUAGACUCACUGAGCAGACCGGACUCACUCAGCAGACCAGACUCAUUGAGCAGAGUGGCUAAAUCUUCAAAAUUUUCCCUCAGAUAUUCUUCAAAAUCUCUUGUCAGAAGAGGCAGCGUAUCACAGAAAAACACACAAAUAUUAGAAGUUAUCGAAGAUUGUGCUAUGAACUAUAUAAUGCUUUCACCACAGGAUUAUGUGAACAGCUCGACAAAUACGCGCGAGUCUCGGGAUAACACCUUCCGCCCGGCACAGGUUGCGAUUUGUGUGGCUGUUGGAAGAUGCAAACAGUACAGUAUUGGAGUGUCCCUCUUUGAGCUCGAGAACAAGGAGAAUGUCGAUGUUAAAGCAUUUGGUUCUGAUGGAUCAUAUUACUGGUUCUCAGUUCAACUGAAGAUGGCUUCAGAUAGGACUAAGGUAGUGAAUUUUCUUCCGCGUGCACUUUUUAUUAAUAGAACUGGGAGAGGUAUUAUUUUAUCAGAGUAUCAUAGUGAGGUUGAGGAGCAUUUACAUCCAACUGAUCCUCCAAAAGUGUUCCAAUGGCGUUCAGAAUUUGGAAACAAAUUUUUAAAGUUGCGGAUGGAGGGAUACAAAUGGAGUACACCAUUUAGCAUUGAUGCUAAUGGAGUUAUGUGUGUGCUCAUGAAUAGUGUUACAGGAAAUGAUCAAGUUUUUGUGAGGGUAAAUGUUAGAAGUGGAACAAAAAGUUCACGUUAUGAAGUUGUAUUUCAACUUGCUUGCUGGUCCAGCCCGUACAGGGUGGAGAAUCGCUCCAUGUUCUUGCCUGUACGAUUUCGUCAAGUUGGUGGUGAUGAUUAUGCUUGGCGUAGUCUACCUCCAAAUUCAUCAGCUUCCUUCUUCUGGGAGGAUCUUGGCAGAAGGCGUCUGUUGGAGGUAUUGGUAGAUGGAACUGAUGCUACGAGCUCUAUGACAUAUGAUAUUGAUGCCAUCAUGGAUCACCAGCCACUAGCUACCUCAAGUGGGCUUAAGAAGGCCUUACGUAUCACUGUUGUCAAGGAAGGCAAAUUGCAUGUUACACAAAUUAGUGAUUGGUUGCCAGAGAAUAGAACUCGAGGACAGAUAACUGAAAGACUAUUAUCACCAAUCUUUCAGCCAUCAGAGGUCGACUGUGGGCAGUCAUCUCAAGAUCUUGAUAGUGAAUUUCAUGUUACUUUGGAACUAACAGAGCUGGGCAUAUCCAUAAUUGACCAUAUGCCUGAGGAAGUUCUUUACCUCUCAGUCCAGCAAUUAUUACUUGCCUACUCAUCUGGAAUGGGUUCUGGAAUCAAUAGGUUUAAAGUGCGAAUGCACUGGAUUCAAGUGGACAAUCAAUUGCCUUUUGUUUCAAUGCCUGUCCUCUUUUGUCCUCAGAAGACGGACAAUCAAUCAGACCAUGUGCUCAAGUUCUCUAUGACGAUGCAGACCAAUAAUUCUCUAGAUUUUUGUGUUUAUCCAUAUAUUGGUGUGCAGGUUCCUGAGAAUUGUGUGUUUUUUGUUAACAUCCAUGAACCGAUUAUUUGGCGCCUCCACGAGAUGGUUCAACACCUAAAAAUUGAUAGGAUAUGUACCUCUCAGCCUUCAGCUGUUUCAAUUGAUCCUAUUCUGAAAAUAGGGCUUCUGAAUAUCUCUGAGGUCCGCUUUAGAGUAUCAAUGGCAAUGUCCCCAACCCAAAGGCCAAGAGGAGUUCUUGGGUUCUGGUCUUCCUUGAUGACUGCAUUGGGGAACAUGGAACACAUGCCGGUCCGUAUAGCUCAAAGGUACCGUGAGGAGUUGUGCAUGCGACAAAGUGCACUAAUGAACUCUGCUAUAUCUAACAUCCAAAAAGAUCUUCUUAGCCAACCUCUUCAACUACUUUCUGGUGUUGAUAUUCUUGGCAAUGCCAGUAGUGCUUUGAGUAACAUGAGCAAGGGUAUAGCAGCACUGUCCAUGGACAAGAAGUUCAUUCAGGCCCGGAUGAGACAGGAUAGCAAAGGCGUCGAAGAUUUUGGUGAUGUCAUACGAGAUGGAGGUGGGGCUCUCGCGAAGGGAAUCUUCAGAGGUGUCACGGGCAUAUUGACAAAGCCCAUUGAGGGUGCAAAAUCUUCUGGUGUUGAGGGCUUUGUACAGGGAGUUGGAAAAGGCUUAAUUGGUGCAGCUGCUCAGCCAGUGAGUGGAGUUCUUGAUCUUCUGUCGAAAACCACUGAAGGUGCAAAUGCUGUAAAAUUGAAAAUAUCAUCAGCUAUAAUGGCUGAGGAGCAGUUGCUGCGUAGACGUCUCCCCCGAGCAAUUGGUGGUGAUAGCUUGAUCUAUCCUUAUGACGAGUAUAAAGCAGCUGGCCAGGCUGUCUUGCAGUUAGCUGAAUCUGGUACGUUUCUUGGCCAAGUUGACCUUUUUAAAGUGCGAGGAAAGUUUGCAUCUACUGAUGCUUAUGAGGACCAUUUCAUACUUCCCAAGGGGAAAAUUCUCUUAGUUACGCACAGAAGAGUAUCGUUACUUCAGGUACCGAUGAUGACCCAGAGAAAGUUCAAUCCUGCAAAGGAUCCAUGCUCGGUAAUCUGGGAUGUAUUAUGGGAUGAUCUUGUCACAUUGGAGACUACUCAUGGGAAAAAAGAUGCUCCUGGAUCCUUGCCUUCAAAGCUUAUUUUGUAUUUGAAGGCUAAGCCUGCGAAUUCGAGGGAAGCUGUUCAUUUGAUCAAGUGUAAUCGUGGUUCUGAUCAAGCGACUAUCAUUUACUCAUCAAUUGAUAAAGUCUAUAGAACCUAUGGCCCAAAUGCAAUCAAGGAAUUACUGAGAUGGAAGGUCCCAAAGCCAUAUGCCCCUCGCAAUACCAACCGUCACAGUGUUCAAGAUUUAUCAUUUGCAUAG
rnacentral:rRNA from 1 species